rnacentral:tRNA from 9 species
GGUAGUUCAGUCGGUUAGAAUACCUGCCUGUCACGCAGGGGGUCGCGGGUUCGAGUCCCGUCC